UACGUAGGUGGCGAGCGUUGUCCGGAUUUACUGGGCGUAAAGGGAGCGUAGGCGGACUUUUAAGUGAGAUGUGAAAUACCCGGGCUUAACUUGGGUGCUGCAUUUCAAACUGGAAGUCUAGAGUGCAGGAGAGGAGAAUGGAAUUCCUAGUGUAGCGGUGAAAUGCGUAGAGAUUAGGAAGAACACCAGUGGCGAAGGCGGCUUGCUGGACGGCAACUGACGUUGAGGCUCGAAAGCGUGGGGAGCAAACAGGAUUAGAUACCCGCGUAGU
rnacentral:rRNA from 1 species